AACGUACGCUGGCGGCACGCCUAACACAUGCAAGUCGAACGAAGUAGCAAUACUUAGUGGCAGACGGGUGAGUAACAUGUAGGUAUCUGCCCUUUGGCCUGGAAUAACACGAGGAAACUUGUGCUAAUACCGGAUAAGUCUUUACGGAGAAAGCUUUAUGCACCAUUGGAUGAGCCUGCACUUGAUUAGUUUGUUGGUGGGGUAAUGGCCUACCAAGACUGUGAUCAAUAGCUGAUUUGAGAGGAUGAUCAGCCACAUUGGGACUGAGACACGGCCCAAACUCCUACGGGAGGCAGCAGUGGGGAAUCUUGCACAAUGGAGGAAACUCUGAUGCAGCGAUGCCGCGUGAGUGAAGAAGGCCCUUGGGUUGUAAAGCUCUUUCGUCGGGGAAGAAAAUGACUGUACCCGAAUAAGAAGGUCCGGCUAACUUCGUGCCAGCAGCCGCGGUAAUACGAAGGGACCUAGCGUAGUUCGGAAUUACUGGGCUUAAAGAGUUCGUAGGUGGUUGAAAAAGUUGGUGGUGAAAUCCCAGAGCUUAACUCUGGAACUGCCAUCAAAACUUUUCAGCUAGAGUAUGAUAGAGGAAAGCUGAAUUUCUAGUGUAGAGGUGAAAUUCGUAGAUAUUAGAAAGAAUACCAAUUGCGAAGGCAGCUUUCUGGAUCAUUACUGACACUGAGGAACGAAAGCAUGGGUAGCGAAGAGGAUUAGAUACCCUCGUAGUCCAUGCCGUAAACGAUGUGUGUUAGACGUUGGAAAUUUAUUUUCAGUGUCGCAGCGAAAGCGAUAAACACACCGCCUGGGGAGUACGACCGCAAGGUUAAAACUCAAAUGAAUUGACGGGGACCCGCACAAGUAGUGGAGCAUGUGGUUUAAUUCGAAGAUACGCGCAGAACCUUACCAACACUUGACAUGUUCGUCGCGACUUUAAGAGAUUAAAGUUUUCGGUUCGGCCGGACGAAACACAGGUGCUGCAUGGCUGUCGUCAGCUCGUGUCGUGAGAUGUUGGGUUAAGUCCCGCAACGAGCGCAACCCUCACUUUUAGUUGCCAUCAUUUAGUUGGGCACUCUGAAAGAACUGCCAGUGAUAAGCUGGAGGAAGGUGGGGAUGACGUCAAGUCCUCAUGGCCCUUACGUGUUGGGCUACACACGUGCUACAAUGGUAUCUACAACAGGAAGCAAGACGGCGACGUUAAGCAAAUCCUUAAAAGAUACCUCAGUUCGGAUUGCACUCUGCAACUCGAGUGCAUGAAGCUGGAAUUACUAGUAAUCGUGGAUCAGCGUGCCACGGUGAAUGCGUUCCCGGGUCUUGUACACACCGCCCGUCACACCAUGGGAGUUGGUUCUACCUUAAGGCAAGGUUUAAAACCCUUGACCGCGGUAUAGUCAGCGACUGGGGUG
rnacentral:rRNA from 1 species